UGAAGAAUUCUAAGGACCUGACUCUAAGGAAUUGAUUUUACAGCAGCACUUCUCAUGUUGCCAGCCUUGUUAAGCGAGACACUUUAACAUUUUGUUGUGCUCAAGAUGACGCAGUGGGUAGUGCUGUCACCUUACAGCAAGA